CAUGUGAGGACCCUUCUCAGCCCCUCUCUUCGACCGUUGAGGCGGCGACGGCCAUCGCUCUCAUCGACUGUAACUCGACAGCCUCGAACUCUGGGUUGCUCUCUUCCUCAAGCAGCAAAGCUGAAAAGUUUCCACAUAUUCGAUUUCUGAUUCUUCAAAGUCUGUGUCUUGGGUGUCAUAUAGCCUCACAAUCACAGAGUUCGUUGGGGAAGUUCAUCGAGUCCUUAGCAUUUUCUUCCAGAUUAUGGGUAUUGCUGGUUGCCUCGUAUUUC